CCUCGUGCGGGGCGCGUGGACAGCCGCCCUUUAAAUAACCCACGCGCUGCCUCGCGUCGCCACAGCUGGGAGCCCACGCACGUGGCGCGAGUGGCAUCUUCGGCGCCGCCGCCGCCGUCGCACAAAAGCCGAACUGGAUUUUGCUCUCCGCAACAAUUUCCGGGCGAUUUCAUCCGUUUGCCUGCUUGCCUGGUGCCCGUGGCUUCGCUGUUACCCGGCGGCCGCUCAGUAGCAGCAACAGCCACGAAGCAGCUGCAGAAGAAAGCCACUAACUUUGUUGUGUUAACUUUUGGCUACUUAAUAGUCGUUGACAAUUAAACGCGUGGGUAUACUUUUCGAGGAUAAUAUCGUACGUACACAACGAGCACAGUGCGCUUGGCUGCGUCACGGCAAUACGCUGUUUUGUUUGCUUUGGUGGAAGGGGUAAAGGCAAGUUUGAAUCGUUGAGUCAAGCCCGUACUCGCUGUUCGGACGACUGCCCUAUAACAGGCUUAGCACCAGCACGCACGGAGAAGGAGAACCGGGGGUGGUGGCGGGCAGAGCACUUCUGCGCGCGGGAGUGACGCGUUCCCAUCGGGAGCGGGAGGAGGAAGCGCUCGAAGGCCAUCUCGUCGAGCUCUCCGCCGGACGGCAGCGGUGACGCCCGAGCGCCAUGGCCCUCUCGAAAGCGGUCAACGGCACCGUGAACGCAGUCCUGGCGGUGGCCGAGGCCACCGCGACGCCGCUCGACGACACCGGGUUCCCGAGGGAGGCGGCCGUGGGCCGACCGGAAGGGGCGCCCCAAGCCGCGGCCUUCCACGACCCGCUCGUCGGCCUGGUGGCCAUCAUCGGCGCGUUCGUGGUCCUGGCGGCGCUCAUCGUGGCCCUGGUGCGGCUGCGUCCGCGGCGGAGACACGCGAGCGCCGAGGAUGAGCUCUACAGCCUGGGCAUGAUGGAGGCCUCCUGAGUGGCGGGGGCAGCUCGCGGAGAUCGGUGGUUUAGGAGAAAAAAAAAUCGUUCUUUUUAAUUGGCCCCGCUCCGUCAAUUUGUGACGAGGGCCGUUUGCCGCGUCCAGUGCGACGUAAUUUCACUGCGUAACGACAGGGCGCGAGGGAGUAACACUUCAAAAUGGGGAAAGUACAGAAGUAUAUUUUUUGUUUUGCCCCCCCCCCCCUGUCGGCAUCGGCACUCGUGAUGGUCAUCGUCAUCCUCGUAUUAAUUAGAAUUUGGCAGGAAUUCCUCGUGAAGUAAAAGCUGCACCAUUUUAAGCAAUGAGAAAUCGUGAAACAAACAAACAUACAUUUGUUUUGUGUAUGAACGGCUUGCCAGGACAUGGCAAGGCUUGCCACCCAGACCCACAGGGCAAGAACAAACACUCAUUCAACUUUUUUUGUUUGUUUGUUAACAAUACCACUUUAAUUUCAUAGACUAUGCGGUUAGACGAGGUAUAAAGGCAUUCUCUGUAAUGGACCAAAAGUUAUUAAUCUGAAACGGGGCUUUUUAUAAUGUACACAGCAGUGCCGACUUGUACAUUGGGUGCACCUUUGUAGCUUGUCAACACGGAGGGCCUCAUCGCGGCCACUGUUGCCAGGCCGAGCUCUCUCGCGGGCAAAGAGCAAACUCGGCACACGCAGAAGCUCGUGCUCCCAUCCCCACAGAGUCGCACAGAUUUGGCCCAAUGCCACGCACAGAGGCGAAUCAAUCCCAAAUGCCCAAGUGGUUAAAAAAUAAGCCAUACAUUUUACCUGAUUUAAAUAUCAAUAAAAUACUAAUUUUCGAGUUCUCAGGGAGGGGGUGGUUGAUCUCCCCCCCCCCCCCCCCCCAAUGUUUUCAAAGUAAUUGGCAAUGAUCACAAACCGAUCUUGUAAAACCACCCACACCUGCAUGUGCACGGAGUGUUGCCAAUGAGACGAAAUGCCCCACACCUUCUCUUCCAUGCGCUCAGUGUUCCCAAAGCAAACGACGAUUUGUUUUGUGUUGCCAAAUUCCAAUAGGAACAUUGCUCAUCGAUUCGUUUUGCUCUGCCUUUUAAGGGUUACCUGGGGGGAACGUAUUGCCGACACAUCAUUUUACAAGCUCUGUUUCUCGUGUGCGAAUCGUAAACCACUAUGUAUCGACUUUAUUUAGCUAAUGUUUUUUUUUUGUAACGUUGGAUCACGUCGCGGCAUCUUGUCGAGUGUCCGCCGCAGUCGUGCCACGAGUGUGGUGUCGUGAGGAAUGGGGGGAAAUGAAACUGUGAAUGUGGGAAUUUGUCUGAAAUGGAUGUUGGGACCCCCCCCCACCACGAGAUUUGGGGUAUGCAAGUCAUCGGAGUUGUGGGGCACAGAUGGGGAGCGUAAGAGUGUUUUUUACAAUGCUGCCCACUUCGUGUUCAGAAAGUAACAUGGUCUGGCUUGGGAGGGGGGGGGGGUUAAGAAAUUGACCCAUGUCAGAGGUAGAGGUGGGCUGGUGAAUAGUGACUGGUAAGGCUUUACUAUUAAUAUUUUAUUUUAACUUGGGUCUGGUGCCAAUCAUCAUCAAGUCUCGCCAGCGCCAGAGUGGCGUUUGACGAGAGGCAAAUGUCAAGUUGCCCAAAACGGCGGCAUUUUGACUCUUCCCGUUUCCACACCCAAACAGUUUCCCGUAAUAAUAAUUAAUAAGGAAACGUUGGAAACGCAUAAUAAUCACGGGCACCAGUGGAUCGCCGGAUGCUUAUUUCACAUCACGUGCCAGAUGGGAGGGGGGGGGUGCCCUGAAGCAGUGAUAAAUAGCGCUUUGCUUGACUCAUAUUUUUAGGAUUCAUUUUUUUUAAUGCCUUUGUGUAGAUUACGUUCAGUUGUCCGUGAAUAAUACUAUUUUGUGUUGCAUGUAAACCGCCUGCCCUGACUGCCUUUGUCUUAAUAUGCCAAAAAAAAUGCAAUAUUUUAGAAUGUGUUCUGAUGAAAAUUAGCCGUUAAAAAAAACAUUUCAUUUAACAGUUCUUAGGACGGCAAUGUCAAAAGGACUUUGCAAUAAUAAUACCGUCAUGUAUUUGUGUUACCAUAUUGUUUUGACGGGGUUUUUUUAUUGCUCUUUAUGCUGGUGCUUGCAUCGCAGCAAGGUGUGGAAUUUUUUUUUAAGUAUAAAUGUAGGAAAGCUAAAAAAAGGAAAGCUUUGUUGUGCAGUGGGUGUAGAGCAAUUUUAGUGGUGGAAAAAUUGUCCGUGGCCGAUUUGAUCUCAGGUUUGAGCUGAUUAAAAGAGCUACCAAGACAGCAUGAACGUUACAUGCGCAGCGAUAAAGAAGUACCAGAUACAAACCAAUUGCAGUACACCUGUGUGCUGUACUUUGUUUACUGUAUUGAGGAAUUGUCAGAAGGUUUUUGGAACACAGUUGUGUGUAAAUAUAAAAAAAAGUUGGCCUAACCUUUAUAUGUAGCUUAUUUUAAAACAAUGUCCUUACAUUCUACAGUCAAUUAUUUGCUUUAAUCGUUGCGUCAAUUUGAGACUGUAAAGUUGGCAAUGCAUAAUAAUACUUGCCGAUGGUUCCUCAUGCGUAGUAACAUUGAGCAAAUUAAAAUUAUGCUGAAAGCAUAUGGGAAGCAUGACACUGCGCAGUACAUACAUUAAGCAACUUGUAUACUACAUGGUAAACCGUGAAAUACAUUACUGCGUUUCCUUUUGUUUGGCCAAGACCAAAAUACUUGUGAGAAGUGCACCUUUUUAAAGGCUUUAAAUGUCUGACUUAAAGCUUUAACAUUUUCUAAUGGCGUGGGAGUGGAAUGUGUUCAGGGGUUGUUUUUAAGUUGCGUAACAAUUAUUACAGUUUUGUAAUGUCUUUUUCAAGUUGCUUCCCAAAAAACACAACUGUGUUUCAAGAUGUAUGGUUUAGCUUAUUCUCGAAGCCAUAUCAAGUAGAACAAAGAAAACAGCCGAAUGUUUUAGCUUUUGUUUUUUUUUUAACACGCAUCCAAGUGCCCUUUUGAGCGCGAGAGAGAUUCGCCUUUCUGGAAUCUACUUCCAGGGCGUCCGUGCAGGCGGGGAAGGCGAUCCCGUACACAGAGGCUCAAUCCUUGCACCGCGUUAGGACGUUAAGUUAAAAUGGAAUGGCGGACAAACCUCUUUCAAUGCAUCCUCCGUUGUAUGUACUUGCACGAUGAUUUGCAAAUAUUGUAAUUCGGCCAUCCGUCAAUGGGUGGCUGGCAAGCAAUCAAAUCCAACCAAUCCCUUGUCACUUUAUGCCCUCUAAAAAAAAACCGUGAACGAUAUGACAGGAGAAAUGUCACUGCCAAUUGUUGGCGUGUGGCUUAUCCAUCCCACAGUAGUUGACUGAUUAACACCUCAUGCUGGGACUGGGAGGACCUUUGAAACUGCUCAUCCUUGCAACCUUCCAGACUUUGUCCCAAGCUUCGGAUAAAGCGAUAAAACUCAGGAAAGAGAACAUUUUUAUGUUUUCUUAAACUUCAGCCCCAUGAUCAUAUGCUUGGUGGGGGGGGGGGGGGCAAGGUCAAUGGAAGCACUCCAUAAUUUGCAGGUUCUCUGCAGACGGCAGAGGUCCAACGACGUUGCAAGACUCUGAAUCUGUAAAGCACUAUGCGCCAAAGUCUCGUCCAAUCGAGGAUAACCACUCGACUUGUCCAAAAGUCCCAACACUUGCACUUGCCAGGUGUUUCCCCGUCGACAGUUGGGGUAAACAUGUGGACGAAUCGUCCCCACUUAGCACUUAUUUGCCUAAGGAACGAUGUAUUAAGAAAAUGAAGGUGCGAUUGUGUUUUUUUUUAACCAAUGGAUAUUUUACAUUGGGUACGCCCCCCCCCCCCCCCCCCCCCCCACGAUAGAAGCACUCCAAAGCAAUUACAUGUGUCGAUGUGCUCGUUUGUUAUUACCCUUUGCAGUUUGGCAUUGUAUUAUGUACUGUUUGUGUUUAAGAAUUAUCCUCAAAGCACUUAAUACAAAAAAUUAUCCGCGUGUAUCAAAAUAAAGGACGUUGGUAAGAGUU